rnacentral:rRNA from 1 species
GACGAACGCUGGCGGCGUGCUUAACACAUGCAAGUCGAACGCUGAAGCCCAGCUUGCUGGGUGGAUGAGUGGCGAACGGGUGAGUAACACGUGAGUAACCUGCCCCCUUCUUUGGGAUAACGCCCGGAAACGGGUGCUAAUACUGGAUAUUCACUGGCCUUCGCAUGUGGGUUGGUGGAAAGGUUUUUUCUGGUGGGGGAUGGGCUCGCGGCCUAUCAGCUUGUUGGUGGGGUGAUGGCCUACCAAGGCUUUGACGGGUAGCCGGCCUGAGAGGGUGACCGGUCACAUUGGGACUGAGAUACGGCCCAGACUCCUACGGGAGGCAGCAGUGGGGAAUAUUGCACAAUGGGCGAAAGCCUGAUGCAGCGACGCCGCGUGAGGGAUGACGGCCUUCGGGUUGUAAACCUCUUUCGCUCAUGGUCAAGCCGCAACUCAAGGUUGUGGUGAGGGUAGUGGGUAAAGAAGCGCCGGCUAACUACGUGCCAGCAGCCGCGGUAAUACGUAGGGCGCGAGCGUUGUCCGGAAUUAUUGGGCGUAAAGGGCUUGUAGGCGGUUGGUCGCGUCUGCCGUGAAAUCCUCUGGCUUAACUGGGGGCGUGCGGUGGGUACGGGCUGACUUGAGUGCGGUAGGGGAGACUGGAACUCCUGGUGUAGCGGUGGAAUGCGCAGAUAUCAGGAAGAACACCGGUGGCGAAGGCGGGUCUCUGGGCCGUUACUGACGCUGAGGAGCGAAAGCGUGGGGAGCGAACAGG